AUCGUGAUCUUUCGUUCGUAGUAUUGGAAAAAUAUUGACAGGCGGCAUUUGCAAGAAGUAUUCGUAUCGUUGUUGGAUUUAAUUCGCAAAAGUGUGAGGAAUUGUCGAUGGUUGGGACGUAAGAGAAUCUUGAAUUGUUGUAUACGGUUGCGUGUGGGUUUUAAUUCGUGAUAAAUAUCGUAAAAGAUCGAAAAAUAUCGGAGACAUUGCGAGUAAUUUAUGCGUGUUUUGAAAAUUUG